GGAGGAAAAGAAACUAACAAGGAUUCCCCUAGUAACGGCGAGUGAAGUGGGAAAAGCUCAACUUUGAAAUCUGGUACUUUCAGUAUCCGAAUUGUAGUCUCAAGAAGUGUUUUCUGUGCCGGUCCAUGUAUGAGUCUGUUGGAACACAGCGUCAUAGAGGGUGACAACCCCGUUCAUGACAUGGAUCCCGGUGCUUUGUGAUACACUCUCGAAGAGUCGAGUUGUUUGGGAAUGACAGCUCAAAUUGGGUGGUUAAAUUCCAUCUAAAGCUAAAUAUUGGCGAGAGACCGAUAGCAAACAAGUACCGUGAGGGAAAGAUGAAAAGCACUUUGGAAAGAGAGUUAACAGUACGUGAAAUUGUUGAAAGGGAAACGAUUGAAGUCAGACGUGCGUGAUGCGGUUCAGCUUUAGUUCGCUAGAGUGUACUCCGUAUCUUUGCAGGCCAACAUCGGUUUUGUUAGUCGGAUAAAGGUUUGAGAAAUGUGGCACCUUCGGGUGUGUUAUAGUCUCAGACUGAAUACGAUUGAUGGGACCGAGGAACGCAGCGCGCCGCAAGGCAAAGGUUCCGACCUUUUCGCGCUUAGGAUGUUGGUGAAAUGGCUUUAAACGACCCGUCUAAAA
rnacentral:rRNA from 1 species